AUGACUUCUCAAUUGUUUUUUUUUUCAACCUUUUCAUAUUUGUACUAAUCUUUAUAUAUAAAAACCUAAUUAAUUAGCAUAAGAUGCAGAGAAUAUGCACAACUACAAUUAUUCACUUAACUUUCACUCUAAUCUAAGUUUAGCUUCUUUUUUUUUUGAACUAAAAUAUAGACAUUGUUUUUUUGAAUAAAGCUUCAUAAUGACAAUUCCAUGCACGUUUUCAUGCAAAAAAGGGAAGCUUACAUAAUUAUCUUUCAACUUUUGGAAAUUCAUGUCAAAAGGUGAGUUUCAUUUUGAACUAUACUAGAUUCACAAUUUUUCUGUCUUUUAUUUCAGGCCUGAAAGCAUGUUCUUUUCCUCUUUAAUUAUAUUGCGUUCGGAGUCAAAAGGACCACUUUUUUCUUUACCCACCAAAUAGAUUUGGACAACUUUUUCACAAUUUAAACAUCGAUCACAGCAUAGUUUCUCUAUUUUAAUUUAUAUGUCCCUUGGUACGGUGUUUGAUGACUUUUUUUUACCCACCAAAUCGAUUUGCACAACUUUUUUCACAAUUUGAACGUCGAUCGCAACAUAAUUUCUCUAUUUUAGUUUAUAUGUCCCUUGAUACGGUGUUUGAUGACUACUUUCUCUGUUUUAAUUUAUGUGUCCCUUGAUACGUUGUUUGAUGACUAGAUACAAAGUUACAAUAGUUUAUUUUAGAAUAUGUGUAGUGUUGGAUAAUUACUUGGCUAUUCUUGAUGGCGUGAGGUUUUUCUAUUUUUUAAAAAAUGUGUGAAUUUGGACUAUAAAUUAAAUAAUAUCAUACCAUGUUUAGAGCAUUUUUUAAUUUGAUCAUUUAAAGAUUGAUAUAGAGAAAAUUAUUACUCUUAAUUAUUGAGUGUUUAAAUUUAAUUAAAUUCAAAGAAUUUUUAGUAAUCACAUACUAUAUGCAUUCAUAUUAACACAUUUUUAAUUUUAGAAAAAAUUCAAAAGUACGUAGCAUUCACACUAGGAAAGUUCGUACAAGUAAAAUUAUGUAAAGUAUUUACAAGUAUUUUUUUUUUAAUGUAAAAGGUACUUGAGCACAAUUGAUAAUUUAAUUUCAAAAAAAAUGUUGCAAUAGAAUUUAAGACUAGAUUCCCUUCACUUAGCAUUAAUUUAACUAAUAAAUAAAAUUUAAGUAAGUGCGGCGUUCCACAUAUUUAAUACUAUGCUUCUAUAGUCUAAGUGAAAGGAAUUAGGCAACAUUAUUUAAUUAGUCCUCACUAAUUACUUGUGUGGGCCCUACUUCUUAAUUAAUUACCUACCCUUGCCAUGCAAAAGAUGCAAUUAAUUAAUUAAUUAGUACUAGCCAACUUAGUUAAGCUAGCUAGCUACACAUAAUCAAAAUUCUACUCGCUAUGUAUAGCUCCUUAAUUAGGCAUCAUUAUGUAUAUAUAUGCUCGGAUUCUCUAAUAAUGUUAUCGUAGCUUCAAGAGUAUGAACAACAUAUAUAGUAUAUAUGUAGCUACGUACCAUUUUAGUAAAAUGAACAAAACGCUACGAGAAACUAAUAGGGGGUAAUGCUAAAUGCAGAAAUUUAAAGGUCUAUAAUAUCCUUUUUUAUUUUAAAAUUAAUUGAUUAUGUCCCCAUUUUUAAUCAAAAGAUAUUAAAUUUAAAAAGGGUAAAAAUGUCCAAAAAGAUAAAAUAAAUAGUGUGUGAAAUAUGUUAUUUUACCAUUCUGGCCAAAUUCUGACUAAAUUUUCUAGCCAAAAUGAUUUUUCCUUACCAAUAAUCCUUUCGUAAUAAUCCCAGUAUAAUUUGUUUUCGAACUAAGCAAUCCCUAGCUAGAGGCGAAACAAGGAUUAGGAGUUUGAGAGUUCUAAAUUUUAUUAAUAAUCGUCAAUCAACUUUGUUAAGAAUUCACAAUUAAUAUACAUAAAUAUUUAAUUAAUUUUCUAGUACAAAUUAGGAAUUCGUCCGAACCCAUAAAAACCCCGCCUAGCUCCGCCUCUGUCCCUAGCUAUACACAUAUUUCAUAAAUCGGGAGGAGUAAAGAUCCAAUUGAAGACUAACCUUAAUCCUUAAAACACAUAAAAUCACACACCAUUCAUAUUUUCCCAUUACUUCACCACCAUAUACAUAUAUAGUUCAUAAUGAAUAAUAAACUGAAAGAUAAAAUUAAGCCCCACAAUAUAAUAAAACAACAAAAUACGUAAAAUACAUCUCUAUCCCUUGUAAAAGCUUAUACAAUUAGCUCAUAGAUUGAGACAAAACAUAUAUAUUUAUUUCCUCAUCAUCACAUGCAAGUGUGAUUCUUUUUCAGUGACAAUAACGAGACUCGAAUUCAGGACCUAGCUCUGAUACCAUCUGUCAUUCAUAUUGAGAGUUACUUUCCAUGCUUAUACUCAUCCCAAUUACUUUCCUAUUUAGUUCCACCACUUGAAGUAGAAUUUCCAAAAUGUGAUCCACGAUAUUUCACAAAAUCUUCUUCUUCUUCUUCGUGCGUAGUUAUAACUUGUUGCUGCUCCUCAUGAUAAACUGGAACUUCCAUUGAUGAUUGUGAAAUAUCAAAAGAGUGAUAAAAAGUAUUUGGUGAAACAUCGAAAUUUAGAUCGAUAUUAUUGUCAGUACGAAGUAAUAAAUCAGCAUAGUGAUGAACAUUAGGGUAAUUUUGUUCAGAUGUGUUGUUUGAUGACGUGGCAGGUUGAUCAUAGCAUUGGAAAAACUGUCCUUGAACUCUUUCAGGGAAAUUGAGUUUAGCUUUGUUUCCUUUGAAUCUUAGAGCAGCUUCAUCAUAAGCAAGUGCUGCACCUUCCGCUGUUUCAAAAGUACCUAACCAAACCCUAGCUGCCUUUUUCGGGUCCCGAAUUUCCGCUGCCCAUUUACCCCAUGGCCUUUGACGAACUCCUCUAUAUCGCCUUCUUUCUGAAUUAAAUAACACAUGAUACCCACGCUCACAUCAAAGCUUCUAGGUGUGAGGGGCCAACCAAUAAAAAUAACUUAAAUUAUUAGACGAGAUAGUAUUCAGAUAGAAAUAAGAGAAUAUAUACCUUGAUCUUGAGUAGACGAUUGAGAUUGAUGUUGCUGAAUUAGGGUUAGUGGAUUAACAUGCACUGAGGAGGAAUCACCACUAGCUGAAGACGAAGAGUUACCAAUGACUUGAGAGAGAGCAGAAACCAUAGCAGACAUGUCAUGUUGAGAUCGAGCUGAUGAGUAUAUUGGGAAUAUGUUACUAGUGUCUUUUUCAUCCCUCUGAUCAUUAUUAGAGCUUGAUCUUUUCAUUUCUUUGAUCCAAAAAAAGAAAUCAUUCAGACAAGAGCUUAACUAGAAGCUAUGUUACUAAAAAUUAGUAAAUGAGGUGAGAAAAAGGAGUGGAGCUAGGAAGGAGGAGUGAAGAAGAUAUUAGGGUUUACUACUCUAGCUUUUUAUGUACUUAAUGUGAAUACAUACUAGUUAUGUGGAAAAAUAAUAUACUAUUACUAUAUACGGUCCAAGACCACAAUAUUCAACUUUGUCUGCUUUCUUCUUUUGUUUUAUUUCAUAUGGGACAUCAUAAUAUAUAUAUAUAUAUAUAUACACUCAUUACAUUUCGAUUUAAAUGGAACAUUUUGACUAAAUAAGCUGACUUUAAUGAGCAAAAAAGGUUUUUUUUUCCCUGAAAAACUUGUGUGUAUGACUUGGAGUUGGGUACUAAUUUUGUAAGUGUUCAAACUAGGUUUUAUAUGGAGUACAUCUUAUGGUUUGAGUAAAAUAUUUUUUUUUAAGUAUUUGUUCAUAAGGUAAGAAAAUAAAAGAUUUAACUUAUGAUUUUUGACUCUUAGGUUAAAAUCUAUAUGAAUAUUCAAAGACACUAAUAAAAAAAUUUCUGAAGGGCAAAAGAAUAAAAAUUCAUGUUGAGUUUUCUGAAAUUUUAGAAGUAUGCCAUUUUUUAUAAUUAAAAAAGGCAUCAGAGAGAAAAAUCCAAAAUUUUCAAUUUGAUUUAGUAGUGUAUUAGUUAAUGGUAGAAGAAAAUAUAAGAAGAAAAAAAAAACAAUAGUUUAACCAAGAGAAGGUUAUAGGAAAUCAAAGUUUGAAAUACAAUACCUAAUGUAAGAUUAUUUCACAAAUUGCUUUCUUCAGGGAUUUAAAAUAGGAAAAAAUUAUAGUUACUGCUUACAGCCUUAAACAUGACAGUUACAACGGACAACUGGAAGGUAACUGUAACAGAAAGGAGAUUAGAAUUUGCAAGUAUAAAGGGCAACGGAGUUGAGUUUUUUUUUUUUUAUCAACAAAAUCAAUUACAAGACUAUGCUGAUGAAAGAUAUCAGCUUAAUCUU
rnacentral:lncRNA from 1 species